GAUGAACGCUGACAGAAUGCUUAACACAUGCAAGUUCUUGGCAAAGCUGUGCUUGCACAGCCAAGCCAAGGCGGACGGGUGAGUAACGCGUAAAGAACUUGCCCCGCAGACAGGGAUAACAGACGGAAACGACUGAUAAAACCUGACAUGAUUGCCGGUACGCAUGUGCCUGGCAAUGAAAAGAGAUGCUGCGGGAGAGCUUUGCGUCCUAUUAGCUGGUUGGCGGGGUAACGGCCCACCAAGGCGAUGAUAGGUAGCCGGCCUGAGAGGGUGAACGGCCACAAGGGGACUGAGAUACGGCCCUUACUCCUACGGGAGGCAGCAGUGGGGAAUAUUGGAUAAUGGGGGCAACCCUGAUCCAGCAAUUCUGUGUGCACGAAGAAGGUUUUCGGAUUGUAAAGUGCUUUCAGCAGGGAAGAAGAGAAUGACGGUACCUGCAGAAGAAGCGACGGCUAAAUACGUGCCAGCAGCCGCGGUAAUACGUAUGUCGCAAGCGUUAUCCGGAAUUAUUGGGCAUAAAGGGCAUCUAGGCGGCCCUGUAAGUCUAGGGUGAAAACCUGCGGCUCAACCGCAGGCCUGCCCCGGAAACUAUAGGGCUGGAGUACUGGAGAGGUGGACGGAACUACACGAGUAGAGGUGAAAUUCGUAGAUAUGUGUAGGAAUGCCGAUGAUGAAGAUAGUUCACUGGACGGUAACUGACGCUGAAGUGCGAAAGCUGGGGGAGCAAACAGG
rnacentral:rRNA from 1 species